rnacentral:rRNA from 1 species
UCGGGAAUUUUGGGCAAUGGGCGAAAGCCUGACCCAGCAACGCCGCGUGAAGGAUGAAGUAUUUCGGUAUGUAAACUUCGAAAGAAUAGGAAGAAUAAAUGACAGUACUAUUUAUAAGGUCCGGCUAACUACGUGCCAGCAGCCGCGGUAAUACGUAGGGACCAAGCGUUGUUCGGAUUUACUGGGCGUAAAGGGCGCGUAGGCGGCAAUUCAAGUCAUCUGUGAAAUCUCCGGGCUUAACUCGGAACGGUCAAAUGAUACUGCUUUGCUAGAGUGCAGAAGGGGCAAUCGGAAUUCUUGGUGUAGCGGUGAAAUGCGUAGAUAUCAAGAGGAACACCUGAGGUGAAGACGGGUUGCUGGGCUGACACUGACGCUGAGGCGCGAAAGCCAGGGGAGCAAACGGGAUUAGAUACCCCUGUAGUCCCUGAGCGGGCUGGCAAGGCGCAU